AUUGAACGCUGGCGGAAUGCUUUACACAUGCAAGUCGAACGGCAGCACGGACUUCGGUCUGGUGGCGAGUGGCGAACGGGUGAGUAAUGUAUCGGAACGUGCCCAGUCGUGGGGGAUAACGUAGUGAAAAUUACGCUAAUACCGCAUACGAUCUAUGGAUGAAAGCGGGGGAUCGCAAGACCUCGCGCGAUUGGAGCGGUCGAUAUCAGAUUAGGUAGUUGGUGGGGUAAAGGCCCACAAAGCCAACGAUCUGUAGAUGGUCUGUGAGGACUGCCAGCCACACUGGAACGGGGACACGGUCCAGACUCCUACGGGAGGCGGCAGUGGGGAAUUUUGGACAAUGGGCGAAAGCCUGAUCCAGCCAUUCCGCGUGCAGGAUGAAGGCCCUCGGGUUGUAAACUGCUUUUGUACAGAACGAAAAGGUUUCUACUAAUACUAGGAGCUCAUGACGGUACUGUAAGAAUAAGCACCGGCUAACUACGUGCCAGCCGCCGCCGUAA
rnacentral:rRNA from 1 species